GCUAUGUGCGGACGGGAUAAGUGCUGAAAGCAUCUAAGCAUGAAGCCCCCCUCAAGAUGAGAUUUCCCAUUCCGCAAGGAAGUAAGAUCCCUGAAAGAUGAUCAGGUUGAUAGGUCUGAGGUGGAAGUGUGGCGACACAUGGAGCUGACAGAUACUAAUCGAUCGAGGACUUAACCAC
rnacentral:rRNA from 1 species